UGUUUCCAAUGCGAUGCAGCAAGUACACUGGCACUCAAACAAAAGAUCAUAAGCAGCAGGUAUCAACAAAGCACACAAGCAAACCACUCAAGACUUAUCGAGGUUGACCUCAA
rnacentral:lncRNA from 1 species